AUCUCUUACACACUAUAUAAAAUUAUGGCUAAGAUAUGUGUAUGGUUAGCCCUGCUAAGUUCGGUGCAUUAAGACGUUAUAGUGGUAAAUAAGGGAACCAGCUGCGGUUACAUACUCCGUGCUUAGUAAGGCUCUGUCUCCUUGCGUCUUCUGUCGUCUUAUGAAAACUAGUGCCUGUUAGUAUAGCGCCUCACGUUUCCAUUUCAGAUUUUCACUUCAGCAUCUUCCAACCUCUAUCCUGUCUUGAAUCUUUAGCCACCUGAAUCAGCCUUAUGUUUCCCUGAUUCCAAGUUUUCUAUUUUGGCGUCCUCCAACCUCUAUCACUUCUCGCAUCACCAACCGUCCAUAUCAGCCACAUGAGCUGGCAGAUGCAUUAACUGACGGCAUCUGUCUGCGUCCUUAGUGCAUCCUUCGUUCUUACAGUCGACGGAACCCGGCAAAAAUCACAAGACGCAAGACACAUGCGUCCUAAGUCAUCGCGUCCCCAGCCCUCCCCAGAUAGAUGCAAUUUCAACAGAUUUACAACAGAACACUUCGCUUUGAAAUCAGCUGGGUAUUUCUUAACACAGAAC